GCCAUGCUUAAUUAGUAUUAGUUUGUAGUGCGACAGGACUGGCGGCGAACGAAAAAGAAUCUUAAUUAAAUUGCACACAAUUUGAUUUGCUGUAACAUUUAUGCAUAUAUAUUAUUUCUUUUCAUUUUUUACCGCUGCUCUCGGCUGUCAAUUGCGUGCAUAACUUAUUUUCCAAUUAAAUUCAUUGUCCAUCAAAAUCAAAGCAAGAAAAAAGCACUAAUUAAUUUACAAUACAACAAAAAUGAGAGUCAAGUGCAGCAAAGGAAAUAUGAAUGAAAUUAAAUAAAUGAAUAAUAAAUGAAAAUAAUCUUUGCAAUGUAACAUUUAUGAAAUGUAACCCAAGUGGCUUUUUAUAUCACUUUUUGGGCCGAAGCAUCGGGCGUUCCCUUCGAUUUUGAUUGUAGAAUUGCAGGGGUUUUAUUUAAUUGUAACCUUUGUGCCAACCUUUGGCAUCACAGAAUCAAUCACAAUCCAGAGAAUAAAUCUCAUAAGAUGAUGAUAUAAGGACACAUGCAACGCUUGAGGCAGUGCCAGCUGCUGCUGCCACAGCCACUGCAGGCAGGCAGGCAGGCGGCACAUCAAAAUCAAAAAGGGAAUCAAAAUCAAUGUCAAUAUUUUGUGAGCCAAAUCGAGGCUGGCAGAGAAAAGGCGCCAAGUCAGUGCGGGGCCCGGCCCUACUGGGUGGUGGUUGGUGUCUGAGUUCCGGCUCUGGCAAUAAGCGAAAUGAGCACGUGCUAGUGGCUGAAACAAACUUGGCAAACUGUCGCCUGGCUCAAAGGAUGCGGGCUGAAACAAUAAGUAUCAAACGGUUGGCGCAGGCUGACAGAAGGCAGCGGCUGAGGUAGACUGGCGUCAUCAUUUAUCACGCGCGCGCUCCCAAACCCACGCACACACGCUGCCACCCAGAGAAAGGUCAAGCAAAGUGUUAUCCUUGGAGAUAUCAAGGCUGUGUAAGGUGAGGAAAAGAGCCAGCUGUUACUCUCAGACCUUCGCACAGCCUCACAGACACACAGGGUUAGAGAUGAGUGGCAGCGGAGUUCGAAGGCUCGAGUCUGAAAGGAGGAUAAACAAAAUCACUAUCGAAAUGAAAAUAUCAAUGAUAUGUGAAAUAUACACACAUUGUAUGGCCUCUCCUACUCCCAUUUCGUGCGAUUAUCAUCUCAGAAGCGGGUC
rnacentral:lncRNA from 1 species